rnacentral:rRNA from 1 species
GAUCAUGGCUCAGGAUGAACGCUGGCGGCGUGCCUAACACAUGCAAGUCGUACGAGCUCGAUCUUCGGAACGGGUUAGUGGCGCACGGGUGAGUAACACGUAGGUGACCUACCCCAGAGUGGGGGAUAACUUCUCGAAAGAGAGGCUAAUACCGCAUACACUCGGUCAUUCAUUUGGCCGAGCAAAGCUCUGGCGCUUUGGGACGGGCCUGCGUCCGAUUAGCUAGUUGGUAGGGUAAUGGCUUACCAAGGCUUUGAUCGGUAGCUGGUCUGAGAGGACGAUCAGCCACACUGGCACUGACACACGGGCCAGACUCCCACGGGAGGCAGCAGUGAGGAAUAUUGGGCAAUGGGCGAAAGCCUGACCCAGCAACGCCGCGUGAGGGAUGAAGGCCUUCGGGUUGUAAACCUCUUUCUGGGAGAAGAGACAAGGACGGUAUCCCAGGAAUAAGUCUCGGCUAACUACGUG